GCUGGUGGAAAAAACUGAAUCUUUCCAGCCGUGACUGUCACUUACUCAACACUUUUCUUUUCCUACAAGGAGUGGUCACCUCCAUCUGAUAAAUCAGUGUUACUCAAUAUUUCCUUGGGGAAGGGCAGCACAGGGAAAGUUUCUUUUACUGUCCCUGCUGCAGUCAGACUGGCAUUUUUCUUUUCACUCCAAGGAUGAGCUUGACUUCUGCAAGUUUUCCCAUGGGUGAGUGCCUGCCCAGUUCGGCAUUUCCCUCAUUUUUUGUCUGGUAGCAGACUAAGGAGUCUAGGCAGUUUCUCUGGCUCUGCUAGUUCUGCAGCCAUAUAA
rnacentral:lncRNA from 1 species